rnacentral:tRNA from 1 species
GGGGAUUUAGCUCAGUGGCAUAAGCACCUGCCUUGCAAGCAGGCAGUUGUGAGUUCGAUCCCCGGUACUCCCCG